GCCGGGGUGGCGAAAUUGGUAGACGCACUGCUCUUAGGAAGCAGCGAGAGUAAUCUCAUGAAAGUUCAAGUCUUUUCCCCGGCA
rnacentral:tRNA from 5 species